rnacentral:misc_RNA from 1 species
AUCUUUUCUGUCAUGGCGAACAUUGCUGUUGUACUGCAUGGGCCGAAUGAUUUGCGAGUCGAAUCGAUUCCGGUGCCUGAAAUUAAAGACAAUGAGGUCCUGCUGUCCAUGAGCUCGGUGGGGAUUUGUGGGUCAGACCUGAAGUACUGGAAGUACGGAAAAUGUGGAAAGUUCAGCCUGGAAAAGCCCAUGAUAAUGGGCCACGAGGGAAGCGGAAAGGUCGUCAAGGUCGGAUCCGGGGUCAAACAUCUUAAAAUAGGGGACCGGGUGGCGAUAGAGCCAGGCGUUUCCUGUGGAGUGUGUCGUCUGUGUAAGACGGGGCGCUAUAAUCUUUGUCCGCGCAUCUUCUUCUGCGCAACGCCGCCGGAUGACGGGAACCUAUGUCGGCUUUACAAGCAUUCCGCACAAUUCUGUUUCCGGUUGCCGGAUCACGUGACUGAUGACGAAGGUGCGAUGCUAGAACCUCUAGCUGUGGCCGUUUACAGUUGUCGUAAAGGCAAAGUCGGGCUGGGAACCAAACUCCUUAUCUGUGGAGCAGGUUUGAUUGAAAUAAAAAUGAAAUCGCUUUAAUUAAAGCUGAUAAAACAUAUACAGUGUAAUUGUAAAAUUCGGGGAUCAUGCACUCUCUUUGGUUGUUCUUCUACAGGUCCAGUGGGAAUUCUAACACUAAUGGUGGCCAAACAAAACGGUGCCACAACUGUAGUGAUCACAGAUAUCGACGAGACUAGGCUGGCCUUAGCAAAGUCUCUUGGGGCUGACUUUACAAUCAGGGUGUCCUCCGAGAAACCCGAACAACUGGCCACAAAUAUAUCGGAAAUCCUCGGUGAUCAUCCUGACGUAACUAUUGAGUGCAGUGGUACUAACUUUGGAUUUUCAACAGGAAUAUACGCAACGCUCCCCGGUGGCUGCCUGGUCAUGGUUGGUAGGGUCCCUGGCGACGCAGAGUUCCCCCUUAAUUUGGCGUUCACGAAAGAGAUAGAUAUCACAGGAGUAUUUAGAUAUGCUAAUUGGUAAGCGAUUUGUUAAAUUUCACUCACCCAAAGUCAUUGUUGCGUUUUAUUUGCAUAAACAGAGAGAUGUAUUGACGGAUAGAGUACUUAUCUGUAGUAAACAUCUUGUAAUAUGAAGAAAAUCAAAUUACCUGUUUACAUUUCCUUUCUGGGAUUUAAUCGUCUAACGAUUUAGAUAAGGUGGAUACCGUCGGUUUCCUUUGAUUUUCAGGUUUUCAGUCUUCUAAAUUUAUGUACAUUUUUAAUGUUCCGACAAAAAUUAUUCUAUCGCUUAAAUAGUUUAGCAUGUUGUAGUCUUUAAUCCUACAAAUUAGUUUCUGUUCCGUUUAUUACACAGAGAAGCAGUAAACGCCAGUAAAUAUUAUCAAUUAGCGAGUAUUUCUGAAAAAGUUGAUGUGAUAAAGAUAGAUUUUUUAUCAUGACCGUAUAUUAUCGUUACAGAAUCAUUUUUAUGUUUAGUGUUAACAUGUUAAGUUUUCAAUAUAAGUAUACAAUUUUUACUUGAUAUGUUUAUUAUGGUACGCUUAUUUCUAUUCUAAUAUGUAAAUAUUAUAAGUUUAUAAUUGUAUAGCUUCCCGUGGUUUGUAUAGGUCCUAUGAGCCUGUAGCAACUUAUAUCUUGAUUUUAUAAAAAUCUUGCACAUGGCACUUUAAUAAUAAUAAUAACUUUCUCACCUACUGAAAUAAAUUUUCAUCUAUUAAUGAUUUCAGUUUAACAUGAAAAGUUUUUCUUUAUUUGCCAUCCGGUUAUUGUUCCCGAGAAGCCAAAAGUAAAACGAGGGUCUCUUAUAGCAUCACUCCAUGAACUUGUGGACAUUCUCAAAAAUCAGUAUUAUCAUUUCAGGUCGUUUCGUGGAAUUAUAGUUCUAUUGUGAUAUAUAUUUAUAGAAAUUUUAGAAACCUAUAUGACCACUUAAUUAGCCGGGCAAACGACUGUUUUGACUUAUUCUUAUCGUAAACAUGUUGCCAUAUUUGUAGAAAAAAUAAAGUUUGAUAAAAUACCAAGAUAACCAGAAAUUCAGUGCAAGAUGCAUCCAAAGACUGAAAUAUUUAUUUAAUUUUUUCAGUUACCCAACUGCCUUAGAACUUGUCUCAAAGGGCGUGGUGGAUGUUAAGCCCCUAAUAUCCCACCGUUUCUCUCUGCCUGAUUCUGUUAAAGCCUUCGAAACCGCUUCAUCACAUGACACCAAAGCAGUUAAAGUUAUUAUUGAAUGUGGCCAGAAUUAGUUUCAAAUUUUCAGUGCGAUAAAAAUAUUUUACAUG